AGCUACUCUUUGUUUUGUUGUAGUUGGUUUCUCAAAAAAUGUCAAGAAAGGACGCCAUAUUUUGUAAAAAUGUAUCCUCAGAUCCCUGGGUAGUGUAACGUAUUUUCUCUAAAUUCAUACAGGACAUAAUGUCUCUAAUCCAAUGUGAGUGGGAAGGAGGAGCAGGGUCUUUCCACUUGAGUAUGAUAAUCCUACGAGCCAGUAAGGAGGAGAAGGCCAAUACCUUCAGCUUCACCUUAGGCAAGUCCAAACUGAGAGCAAUGCCAAAAAUGGCAGUAAAAGGGUUCGGCUCAAUCUGAUGGUGAAGUACUUCAGAAAUUGUUUGAAAAACUGAUGUCCAGAAAUCAGUUAGGGUGGGACACAUCCAGAACAUGUGAAAGAGUGACGCAGGUGCGCUCUUGCAGCUAUCACAGGUCGGGUCGACGACAGGAAACACAUGAGCUAGUUUGGUUUUAGAUAUGUGGAGACGAUGUACUACUUUAAAUUGCACAAGAGCAUGACGGGCGCACAUGGAGGUAGAGAGUAUCCGAUCCAGGACUGAAUCCCACAUGCGAUCUGUGAAGGCAGAACCUAGAUCCUGGACUAUGCAACUUCGAAAUAAGGUUAUAAAAGACCGAAAUUGUGCCUUUUAAUGUGGGGUUAACAGAAAGAAACAUAUCGACAGGAUUGGCUGGGGGUUUAUUAGGGAAUUGGGGAAUUAACUUCUGUAUAUAAUGCCUGAUCUGUAGAAAUCUGAAAAAAAUCAGUCUUUACGAUACCAAAGUUAUUCGUCAAUUGAGAAAAGCUAACAAAUAGAUCAUUAAUAAAUAAAUUGCCAAUGCAGAUUAAGCCUUUUUUAUGCCAGAUCUUAAAUGAACCGUCCACCGUCGAGGGAGCAAACAAAUGAUUAGCUGCAAUUGGGCUGAGAAGUGAAAAAGUCUGCAGACCAAAAUUCUUCCUAAAUUGGGUCCAGAUUCGAAGGGAGUGCUUUACCACAGGAUUCCUGUUGGGAAAAGCAGAAGAGAGUGGGAAUGCGGCGCUUAAGAGGGCAGAUAGAGACAAAGGGCUAAUAGCGCUGGACUCCAUUGUUACCCAGACUGGGGCUGAGUCGUCAAGGUGAAAAUGCCCCAACUACACUAAAGAGCGAAUGUUAGCAGCCCAGUAAUAGUAUUGGAAAUUAGGCAGUGCCAUUCCACCUGUUUGUUUGGGUCUUUGAAGAAAAGCUUUCCGUAACCGAGGGUGUUUACCAUUCCAAAUAUAAUUUAUCAUUAAAGAGUCCAGGGCCUGAAAAAAGGAU